rnacentral:rRNA from 1 species
CUAUACAUGACUCUGCGCAUAUCAAUAAGCGGAGGAAAAGAAACUAACAAGGAUUCCCCUAGUAACGGCGAGUGAAGCGGGAAGAGCUCAAAUUUGAAAUCUUAAAGGGUUUCCCUUUACGAAUUGUAGUUUAAAGAAGUGUUUUCUGUUGAGGUUUUGGUAAAAGUUCUUUGGAAUAGGACAUCAUAGAGGGUGAGAAUCCCGUAUUUGACCUUUACUUUCAACUUUGUGAUACACUUUCAAAGAGUCGGAUUGUUUGGGAAUGCAGUCCAAAAUGGGUGGUAAAUUUCAUCUAAAGCUAAAUAUUGGCGAGAGACCGAUAGCGAACAAGUACCGUGAGGGAAAGAUGAAAAGAACUUUGAAAAGAGAGUUAAACAGUACGUGAAAUUGUCAAAAGGGAAGCGUUUGACACCAGUGUUGUUUUUCUGAAAAUCAAUUAAAGAACUGUUUAUGCUAAGCUGUUUAGACUUUAUCAGCUAUCUGUUUAGUUUUGAGCUUUUCUUUAAUGCACUUUUCAGUUAACAAGUCAACAUCAAUUUCUUUUGCUGUAAAAAAGCUUGAGGAAGGUGGCUUGAGAUUCGUCUUAAGUGUUUAUAGCCUCUUGCCUAUGCAGUCGGAGAGAUUGAGGUCUGCAGCGUAGAUCCUUCGGGGCUAAAUGCAUUUGUGCUAAGUUAUAGCAUUUUAUAGACAACUUGUUGACUAUGAUUUGUCUUGUAGCUUACUCGCUUAUGUUAUUUUACCUACGCUUAGGAUGUUGAUCUACAGAGCGAGAGU